rnacentral:lncRNA from 1 species
GCUUCUCUUCCUUCCACAAUAAAUUAAUCAUCAUACCUCUGUGUCCUAUAGGUACCAUGUAUAGUCGCAUUUGUCAUCCAUUCUUAUGAUUAUUCAGUUUGGGUUAUUUUGGGAGAAAAGGGGGGAAAAAUGCGUCCGGAUAUUUUUCCGUCAUUGGACGAAAUUUUAAGUCAGACUUGACUUCCGGUUUGCGUUUUGUUUUUUUAACUCAUACAAAGGCUAUAAACAAAGUGUAUUUGCUAUCUGCUAUUAUUUUCAAGUUUACUAUCCACGGCGGCCACAGAGUUUAUUAAAUAGAGAGGGUCUAAUAUGUCAAUGACCGCCGUGGAUCGAUUUGUAAACUGAGGAUUGAUAGUAAAAAGCAAAUACAUACAAAAAAGAAGAUGUGGUAUGAUUGCCAAUGAGACAACUGUCUACAAGAGACCAAAAUGACACAGACAUUAACAACUAUAGGUCACCGUACGGCCUUCAACAAUGAGCAAAUCCCAUCCCGCAUAGUCAGCUACAACAGGCCCUGAUAUGACAAUGUAAACCAAUUCAAACGAGAAAACUAACGAUCGUAUUUAUAUAAAAAAAGAAAAUGAACGAAAAACAAAUAUGUAGCACAUAAACAAACGACAACCACUGAAUUACAGGCA